CCUACGGGCGGCUGCAGUGGGGAAUAUUGCACAAUGGGCGCAAGCCUGAUGCAGCCAUGCCGCGUGUGUGAAGAAGGCCUUCGGGUUGUAAAGCACUUUCAGCGGGGAGGAAGGCGUUAAGGUUAAUAACCUUGUCGAUUGACGUUGCCCGCAGAAGAAGCACCGGCUAACUCCGUGCCAGCAGCCGCGGUAAUACGGAGGGUGCAAGCGUUAAUCGGAAUUACUGGGCGUAAAGCGCACGCAGGCGGUCUGUCAAGUCGGAUGUGAAAUCCCCGGGCUCAACCUGGGAACUGCAUUCGAAACUGGCAGGCUAGAGUCUUGUAGAGGGGGGUAGAAUUCCAGGUGUAGCGGUGAAAUGCGUAGAGAGCUGGAGGAAUACCGGUGGCGAAGGCGGCCCCCUGGACAAAGACUGACGCUCAGGUGCGAAAGCGUGGGGAGCAAACAGGAUUAGAUACCCGGGUAGUC
rnacentral:rRNA from 1 species